rnacentral:rRNA from 1 species
AUUGAACGCUGGCGGCAGGCCUAAUCCAUGCAAGUCGAACGAGUGGCGGACGGGUGAGUAAUGUCUGGGAAACUGCCUGCUGGCGGGGGAUAACUACUGGAAACGGUAGCUAAUACCGCAUACCAUCAGAUGUGCCCUGAUGGGAGUAGCUUGUUGGUGGGGUAACGGAUCACCAAGGCACCGACCCCUAGCUGGUCUUAGAGGAUGACCAGCCACACUGGAACUGAGACCCGGUCCAUACUCCUACGGGAGGCAGCAGUGGGGAAUAUUGCACAAUGGGCGCAAGCCUGAUGCAGCCAUGCCGCGGGUAUGAGGAAGGCCUUCGGGUUGUAAAGUCCUGUCGGCGGGGAGGCGUUACCCGCAGAGGAAGCGCCGGCUAACUCCGUGCCAGCAGCCGCGGUAAUAC